GUUAAUGUAGCUUAAACAAAGCAAAGCACUGAAAAUGCUUAGAUGGAUGCAAGCAUCCCAUAAACA
rnacentral:tRNA from 1 species